CUACGUAUGUCGCAAGCGUUAUCCGGAAUUAUUGGGCGUAAAGCGAGUCUAGGCGGCUUGUUAAGUCAGAUGUGAAAAUGCGGGGCUCAACUCCGUAUUGCGUUUGAAACUGGCAGGCUAGAGUACUGGAGAGGUGGGCGGAACUACAAGUGUAGAGGUGAAAUUCGUAGAUAUUUGUAGGAAUGCCGAUAGUGAAGACAGCUCACUGGACAGAUACUGACGCUAAAGCUCGAAAGCGUGGGGAGCGAACAGGAUUAGAAACCCCUGUAGUCC
rnacentral:rRNA from 1 species